GAGUAACUAUGACUCUCUUA
rnacentral:ncRNA from 3 species